UACGUAGGUGGCAAGCGAUACUCGGAACCACUAGGCGUAAAGCGCAGGUAGGCGGUUUGAUAAGUCUGUUGUGAAAGCUCCCGGCUUAACUGGGAGAGGUCAACGGAAACUGUCAGGCUAGAGUGUGGUAGAGGUAGCUGGAAUUCCCGGUGUAGCGGUGAAAUGCGUAGAUAUCGGGAGGAAUACCUAUGGCGAAAGCAGGCUACUGGACCAUCACUGACGCUGAUCUGCGAAAGCUAGGGGAGCAAACAGG
rnacentral:rRNA from 1 species